GACGAACGCUGGCGGCGUGCCUAACACAUGCAGGUCGAACGGAAAGGCCCUGCUUUUGUGGGGUGCUCGAGUGGCGAACGGGUGAGUAACACGUGAGUAACCUGCCCUUGACUUUGGGAUAACUUCAGGAAACUGGGGCUAAUACCGGAUAGGAGCUCCUGCUGCAUGGUGGGGGUUGGAAAGUUUCGGCGGUUGGGGAUGGACUCGCGGCUUAUCAGCUUGUUGGUGGGGUAGUGGCUUACCAAGGCUUUGACGGGUAGCCGGCCUGAGAGGGUGACCGGCCACAUUGGGACUGAGAUACGGCCCAGACUCCUACGGGAGGCAGCAGUGGGGAAUAUUGCACAAUGGGCGGAAGCCUGAUGCAGCAACGCCGCGUGCGGGAUGACGGCCUUCGGGUUGUAAACCGCUUUCGCCUGUGACGAAGCGUGAGUGACGGUAAUGGGUAAAGAAGCACCGGCUAACUACGUG
rnacentral:rRNA from 1 species